UACUCUUGGUGGUGGAUCUCUUGGCUCGUGCAUCGAUGAAGAACACAGCCAACUACGAGAACUAAUGUGAAUUGCAGGACACAUUGAUCAUUGACACUUCACAUGCACCUUGUGGCCAUGGGUCUUUCCCGGGGCUAUGCCUGUCUAAGGGUCG
ensembl:rRNA 5_8S_rRNA 5.8S ribosomal RNA